AUUCACUUUUAGAAUAAGAAUAAACUUACUCAGACUCAGUAGGUAUGUCAGCUUAGUGAGAUUACUGAUGACACCAUCCUCUGGAGAAGGGAUGCAAUGUAUGAUUUUUGGUCACUGGCCUUGGUCAGUAACUUUGUUAACAUCUAAGUCUGAUAUAUAUAUUGAAGGUGUAUAAAUAGAAGAGUGUACCAGCUUCUACACUAGGAUUUGAGGAUGCUAAGAUAUGCUACCUGCCAAGGAGCAGUUGAGGCUUUUCAAAAAUGUAUCUGGCUAAGUGUUAUAAUAAAAUAUAUAUGAAUUCUCUGUGAGUUUGAGGGUUUGGGAACGGUUCAGAGAGAUGGUGGGUAGAGUGGAUCUUGAAAAAUAAUUACCUAUUUUCUAGGUGGGCUUAUGUAGGAAAAAGGCAUCAGACCAGUAGACUAGCAUAUGCAGAGACAUGAAAAGCAUGACACAUUCAGAAAUCUUUGUUUAGAGCUUGGGAUCAUCAUGGGGAAUAAUAUAAAGUAGAGCUGGAGAGUUAAGGUGGGAGCAGACUACAGGAGCUAUACUUUUAAGGGCUGUACAAUUUUAACAAAGAGUAGCUUGAUCUGAUUGUGUUAACAGGUUGUCUCUGGCCAUUUGGAACACAGAUUGGAGGAAUGAAAGACUAGGGUCUUAGUUUUAGAUUUUUAUUUAUAGAGUGCUCCUGUAUCUGCUUUAUGACAGCAAGGACAAGUAUGUCUCUGGGUAAUAAUUUGCAAAGUAGUUGCACCUCUGGUGAGAACCGACGGCAAGUGCUUUGCUAAAAAUGUGAUAAAACCUACUUCAUAAGAAAAUCAAAGAGGGGUCUGGUGAUGGUAAAAUUUGUCUCCUGUGCUUGGAAGAGUAGUUCUGAAUUUACUCCUGGGAUAUCAAAUUUAGAUUGGACAUGGGAACUCUAAGAUUAGAAAUCCAGGUCACAACCCAAAGGGAGGACUUCUCUGCUUCUCCCUAUGGAAUCCCUGAUUUCACAUUUCUGACAGAUUUCUAGAGCAUAAAACAUUACCAGGGGCUACUAUCUCAUAUAUUCUCUCCUAUGCAAAGAGCCUUGGAGGACUCUGCCUUAGGACAGAGCUCUCAGAGCAAAAUAAAGUAGAGAAUGAAGUAACUCUGCAUAAUUUACCUUUUCUUCAUAGAUCACCUGUACUUUUCCAUAUAUUUUCUAAAAAUGUAUUGCCAAUUCAUUCUCAUUUCUACUUAUCUCUUUUGUUUUUUAGAUUUUUAUUUUUUCCAUUAUAGUUGAUUUAAAAUGUUCUGUCAAUUUCUGCUGGACAGCAAAAUGACCCAGUCAUACAUUCAUUUCUACUUAUUUCAACAUGAAACAUUGGUUGUACUAACUAGUACCUAAAUCCAUUUAGAUUCAGCCCACCUGAACACACCCAGUGAAAUGUAUAACAAAACCUUUGACUAAUACCUUAAGAUGUAUUUGUUUAAAGACAAAACAAACAGCAGCAAUGACAAAAUAGCAAGCAAAAACAUCCUAUAAUAUGCUAGGAGAAGGGAAGAAUUUAUAAAAUAAAUACAUAGGUUGAAAUAGUCCUCUACUGGGGUAUAAAAGAGGGACAAUGAGUGUUAAUUAUUUCUACUUGAGUAGCAGUCACCUUAGAAGGAUUUUUAAUGAAUAUCAAAAUCAGCUAUAGUACAUGAAAUCAUUGACUCUCUUCAACAGGUGAUAGUAGUAAAUAUCCAUUGGGCUCUAUCAUGUACUAAAGACUUAACACUAGCACAUCAUUGAGAAUGACAUGCCCUUCAGGCAAGUCCUGUUAUCUCCAUUGUUGGGAGGAGAAAAGUGAGGCUUUUGGAGGUAAUGUUCCCAAAAUGACCAUUGAGUAGUGAUGGGGCAGCUCCCUGGAUCUAGGUUGACAUGGGUCUUAGAUCUUAGGAAAUUAUAAUCUUUUCUGGGUACUUUUAAAGUUUAUCUUUGUUGUUCUAUUUUAUUCAUUUUGGACAAGAUCUUAUAUUUAUGGCAGAGAAGGGUAACAGUCCAGGGGAGAAGAAUUGGGGAAAAAUCAGAAAUCACAGCUAAGUUAACAAUGGUUGCUAGGCUUACACAUGGAAAAAGAAUUCUUAGACUGUAUUAAAUUAGCAAAAAUAGCAGUUGCAGAGGUAACAAGGGACCAGAACAGAUGGCUCUAUUUUUAAAAGAAAGGGGCAAAGUGAAGAGACUCAUUAAUGUUGAAGCAGUAGAUGGAUAACCAGUGACAAAUAUCAAGUAGAUUUGCUUCAGUUUGGUCAGAGAAAGGUCAUUGAUUAUUUUUGGUUAAACUGGUUCACAGAGGCCAGGUCUCCACUAAAAAAGGGAAUUAAUUGCUUCCAUUUCCAACUAAUUGCCUCAACAUUUCCUUUGCUUUGUCAUUGGAGAUUUGGUCAGAGAGGCAAAAAGUCAAAAGUCAGAGUUUGAUGGAAUCUACAUAAAAAGGGAAUCUGAGGAGACCAAAUUAUGGCAUUUGGUGUAAUAAUGAUAAUGAUAUUUAGCAUUUUUCCCUGGGAGUGCUGUGGAUUUUUAGAGACCUUUUCAAUCUUUAAUCAGACCAUAGGGCACAUUUAAGAGAGUUCACUGUUUUUAUUUCCAUCUAGAGGAUAAGGCAUCACAGAGAGAUGAACUGACCUAGGGCAGGUCAUCUGAGAUGUUAAUCCUGUAUGUUGGAUUACGUCCUCUGUGUUGAGUUUUAGCUGGGAGGCUGGGCUCUUCCCAGAGGUAUCAUUCAUUCAUGCUCCUGAUUCAGAGUCUAGGCCUUUUGCAUGUUACUCUCUGAGAUUACCACCUCUAUUAAUGGUAGAAAAAUCACACCAAGAUAAAAAGCAUGAAAUAGUUUUGAUGUUAUAAGAAUUGCUUAGUUUUCAGGCUACUGAUUCUUGAACUGUCUUCAAAUAACGAGAAAUUCUACCUUGUAUUUUCUUAACUACCUAGUCUUUCAAAUCCUUUCUAGCUCUAAAUUCCUUGGAAUCUGAGUUUUGUCUUCUAGACAUUUUGUUUUAUUUUUUGGAACCCCAAGUGGUAAUGUAGAAAGUGGAAAGAAUAUGGGCUCUGGAUACGACAGGUCAGUGUUCAAUAAUCCUGGUUCCUCUCAUUUACUUGUAAUACCUUCAGUGGCCCAAUCUACAAAAAUUUCUCUUUAGAAGGUUCCAAACUUGCAAUAGCAGUGCUGGAAGAACCAGAAAUAUGUUAUUAUUAGUUAGAUAUUUAUUGCAUUAUAGUGUAUUGAAUGAGCAUGGCCAGACAGGUCAUAUAAUUUGAUUGAAACUCAGUUUCUUCAGAUGUAAACCUGAUAUACAUCAUUGGGUUUCAUGAUUUUUAAAUGAGAAAGUAAAGGUAAAGCCUCUAGUUCAGUGCCCACAUAGAAUGUGGAUCUAGAAACUUUAGCCAUAUGUUUAUUAGCAUUAUUAUUAGAAACUAUAAAGAUAUUAAAUGAUAAAACUAUUAAUUGAGACCGUGACUUAAACAUAAGACCCUGGUAUAAAAGAAGUCUAAUACUUUAUAAAAAUCCUUUUUUUGAACAAGAUACUCUCACAGUUAUGGUGAACUUGAGCUGGAUGCUCUUCUGGUUGGAUACCUCUCUACAGCAAUCCUUCCUUAACCUCUCAUAUUCAAAGUGCUUUACUCACAUCAAGUCAUUUAGUACUCAGAACAAUCCUGGAAAUGUGGUACUAUUGUGCCAGUGUACAGAUAAUAGUAUUUACAGAUGGGGAGGAAAAUACAUGGCCCAAAGGCAUACAACUUGCUGGUAAAGAGCCCAGAUUUGAAGCCAGGUGGGCUGAUUCCAAACCUUGCAAUCCUGACAGCUCCUCUAACACUGCUUUGGAAACAUCAGACUACAGUUCAAAGUUGUGCAAGCUGAGAAAUUACCUCACCCUCAUUUUUAGGCUGGGGGGAUUUUAAAGCCUAUCUUUUGGCUGAUAUAAAUGGCUAUUCACACCAAGAAUGGAAAACCAUUGUCAACAGUGACAUCUAUGUCACCAAACCCCACCUUUGGUUCUUCCUAAGUGUUUUUAUGUAAUUCCAAAAGGUACAACCAGUCCAUUCCCUUCUUGGGAUACAUGUCUUCAUCAUCUGACCAAGAAAUGCUAGGAGCUGGGCAUGUGGUCUCUUCCUGCUCCCAUGAUUCUUUUCACUUCUCUGCCCCUGCCUUGCCUCCCUCUGGAGCCCACACAGGCAGCAUGAGCCUUUCCUCCCCCAGUGCUGAAGCUGAAGUCCUACUCCAACUCCAAGGGGAGCCCUAAUUGUCAAACUAGUUGCUCACAACUUUUUUGACUUGUUUCUCUUAAACAAUGUAUCUUAAUAAAAACUACUUUCAAAUAUAUAAACAGAGCACACCUACUAACAUAGGAAAAGCUAAGACUGUACACAUGGGAAAGCUGGUUUGACUGUUUUGAUUAACUUGACUGCUCAAGUCAGUCAAAAAGUAAUCUCCAGUUAAGCAAACUGUUCUGACAGAUUUUUGGCCCACUGUGACUGCUUGUUUGACUGGCUUGCCUGUCAGAUUGAAGUGGUCAGAUUGACUGGAGACAGUCUAACUGGAAAAUUUAACUUUGGAGUACGUGGGUGUCUGUAUACCAGAAUCUACUUUAAAUAACUUUAUUUGAAAUCUGUAUACAUUUUCUUGGGACCAGUGAGAGAAGUUUGAAAGUGACACAUUGCAGCGUUUGACUUUCUAGAAUGAGGUGUCUUGCUGCUUGCUUGGGCUGAGAUGUAUUUAUAGACUACAAAACAAUCACAUUUUUACCUAUGCACAUAUAGAGUUCAAUAAGAUUGAAACGCUACCCUAACUUGGACAAGUCCUAAUAAGGCAUUGUAUUCUCUUACUCUUCUGAAGGGUUGAUAAUAGACAUUUGACAACAAAUGACUUCUCAGAUACCAGAUUACCAAUUUAGUCAUUAGGGACUUGUAGUAAGGCAAAGUUGACCUUGCCACUAACCAUAGACCUUCUAAGAAGAAUUUGUG
rnacentral:lncRNA from 1 species